GAUGAAGAACGUAGCGAAAUGCGAUAAGUAAUGUGAAUUGCAGAAUUCAGUGAAUCAUCGAAUCUUUGAACGCACAUUGCGCCCGCCAGUAUUCUGGCGGGCAUGCCUGUUCGAGCGUCAUUUCAACCAUCAAGCCCCCGGGCUUGUGUUGGGGACCUGCGGCUGCCGCAGGCCCUGAAAAGCAGUGGCGGGCUCGCUGUCACACCGAGCGUAGUAGAUUUUAUCUCGCUCAGGGCGUGCUGCGGGUUCCGGCCGUUAAACCACCUUCAUAACCCAAGGUUGACCUCGGAUCAGGUAGGAAGACCCGCUGAACUUAAGUAUAUCAAUAAGCGGAGGA
rnacentral:misc_RNA from 1 species